GACGAAGGGGGCUAGCGUUGUUCGGAAUUACUGGGCGUAAAGCGCGUGUAGGCGGUUGUCCAAGUUGGAUGUGAAAGCCUUGAGCUUAACUCAAGAAAUGCAUUCAGGACUGGAUGACUAGAGGACCGGAGAGGAUAGUGGAAUUCCCAGUGUAGUGGUGAAAUACGUAGAGAUUGGGAAGAACACCAGUGGCGAAGGCGGCUCACUGGACCAUAACUGACGCUGAGGCACGAAAGCUAGGGGAGCAAACAGG
rnacentral:rRNA from 1 species